UACGAACUGUGCGAACGUUAUUCGGAAUCACUGGGCUUACAGGGUGCGUAGGCGGCUAUUCAGGUCAGGGGUGAAAGCCCCCGGCUCAACCGGGGAACUGCGCUUGAAACCGAGUGGCUCGAGUCAGCUAGAGGUACACGGAACUUCCAGUGGAGCGGUGAAAUGUGUUGAUAUUGGAAGGAACACCGGAGGCGAAAGCGGUGUACUGGGGCUGGUCUGACGCUGAGGCACGAAAGCCAGGGGAGCGAACGGG
rnacentral:rRNA from 1 species